rnacentral:rRNA from 1 species
UACAGAGGUCCCGAGCGUUGUUCGGAUUCAUUGGGCGUAAAGGGUGCGUAGGCGGCGGGGUAAGUUUGAUGUGAAAUCCCGGGGCUCAACCCUGGAAUUGCAUUGAAUACUACCUUGCUAGAGUACCGGAGAGGAAACUGGAAUUUACGGUGUAGCAGUGAAAUGCGUAGAGAUCGUAAGGAAGACCAGUGGCGAAGGCGAGUUUCUGGACACAUAUUGACGCUGAGGUGCGAAAGCGUGGGGAGCAAACAGG